GAUGAACGCUGGCUACAGGCUUAACACAUGCAAGUCGAGGGGAAACGACGGGGAAGCUUGCUUCCCCGGGCGUCGACCGGCGCACGGGUGAGUAACGCGUAUCCAACCUGCCUCUGACUGAGGGAUAACCCGUCGAAAGUCGGCCUAAUACCUCAUGGCAUCGUCUGCGGGCAUCCAACGACGAUUAAAGAUUUCAUCGGUCAGAGAUGGGGAUGCGUCUGAUUAGCUUGUUGGCGGGGUAACGGCCCACCAAGGCGACGAUCAGUAGGGGUUCUGAGAGGAAGGUCCCCCACAUUGGAACUGAGACACGGUCCAAACUCCUACGGGAGGCAGCAGUGAGGAAUAUUGGUCAAGGGGGGAGAGCCUGAACCAGCCAAGUAGCGUGCAGGAGGACGGCCCUAUGGGUGGUAAACUGCUUUUAUGCGGGGAUAAAGUGAGGGACGUGUCCUUCAUUGCAGGUACCGAAUGAAUAAGGACCGGCUAAUUCCGUG
rnacentral:rRNA from 1 species